GACGUAGGGCGUGAGCGUUGUCCGGAUUUAUUGGGCGUAAAGAGCUCGUAGGCGGCUUGUUGCGUCGACUGUGAAAACCUGCGGCUCAACCGUGUGGUCUGCAGUCGAUACGGGCAGGCUGGAGUUCGGUAGGGGAGACUGGAAUUCCUGGUGUAGCGGUGAAAUGCGCAGAUAUCAGGAGGAACACCGGUGGCGAAGGCGGGUCUCUGGGCCAUAACUGACGCUGAGAAGCGAAAGCAUGGGGAGCGAACAGG
rnacentral:rRNA from 1 species